GUGCUUUAUAGGCGGAAAUUCAACGUUGGAUCAAUGAAAUUCCGUCACAUUUAUACGGAAUUGUCUCGGAAAAUAAAGGAUUCCGUAUGUGUACGAAAAGCGGUGGAGGCCACUUGCUUGAUGUGUUAUUUCAUAAAUAGUCAUAUCCUAUGCAAAUUAUCUAAUAUAUAAAAAUAAGUCGUGUUUUCCUCCCUGACGCUAUAACUCCAGAACGCACGAAUCGAUUUCCACGGUUUUGCAUUCGUUGGAAAGGUCUCUGGCUCCGUGAGGUUUAUAGCAAAGAAGAUUUAGGAAAAAUUUCAACAGAAAAGCGGGAAAAUCUUUUUUUACAUACAGCGCCAUCUCUGAUACAUAGCAUGUACUACAAACCAAUAUUUUAAGUAGAUGGCGCCGGUGCGUGAUACAUUGUUUGACAGCUACUCAUUGUUCUCUGCUCAGUUAAUUUCAUGUGAUAAACCGAUAUUGUGUUCACUGUGAAAUUGUGAAAAAAAAAUAAAAAAAAAAAUAAGUAUUCGUUUCCUAACAUUUCAAUUGGAACCCAUCAAAUCAAUCACGUGUAUUGUGCAAAUUUGUAUUCAAUUUCAAAAGCAGGCAUUUGUCUUUAAAGUGUUCAAAAUGCCUAAAGGACGACGUGCGAACAUCGGCCGCCGCACAAGACAUGCAAGCCAGCAACAAGUGUAUUCACAGAACUUAAGAGAAGAAAGACAAAAUAUAAUAAGAGAAAAUGCCCGAUUGAGACAACGCGUGAGGACACGAAGAUCAUUGGCAUCAUACAAUCGCUUGGCAUUCCAAUAUGAUCCUACUGCGACCUACAGUGAUGAUGAAAAUUUAGAUAUUGGACCAAUGACGACUAUAUGCCGAUAUUGCAAUGCGUUAAAGUUCAAAAGAGAAACGGCUGGAUUGUGCUGCGCAAGGGGAAAAGUCAAACUGGAUCCAUUACUUGCACCACCACAGCCACUGAAACCAUUGUUCGAUGGAAGUGAUCCCGAUUCCAGCCAUUUCCUUCAACACAUCCUUGAAUACAAUAACUGCUUUCGCAUGACUUCCUUUGGAGCUAAUAUCAUUCGAGAAGGCGGCUUCAUGCCGACUUGCAAGAUACAAGGACAAAUAUAAAAUUUGUAUGGUUCAAAGGUGCCAACACCAGUUGAACUGCAUCAAUUUCUGCAAAUAUAUUUCAUUUCGUCGAUGGUGGAUCAGCUGAAAGUGCGGUGCAAUAUACAGGGAUCACAACAGUUAAAGAGACGAAUUAUUGAACAGUUGCAAGCAAUUUUUCACGCUAAUAAUGCUGUGGUUAAUAUGUUAAAAACAGCAUUUCAACGAAUGCCAUCGGAUACGCACAAAUUUGUCAUACGAGCGGAUUGUACCCCAACAGCUGAACAUGUGCGAAGAUUCAAUGCACCCAUCAUUAAUGAUGUUGCUGCAAUUAUUGUUGGCGAUUCAACUAAAUCGCGAGACAUUGUCGUUCAGCGAAGAAGCACGAGACACAUCGUUUGUACGAUGCGUUACUUUAUCCAAUAAUUUAUUGGCAAGGGUAAGAGGGAUACGACAUCACGUUGAAGAUGGUCGAUCCAAUUACAGGCGUAUCAACGAAUAAAAAUCUAAGCGCAAUGAAUUACUGUGCGUAUCGUGUGAUGAUUCGUACACAUGAGGAGAAUGUCAUUCUGAAGUGCCGUCGGCUAUUCCAGCAAUUCGCUGUCAACAUCUAUGUCAAAGUCGAGACCAAACGUUUAACGUUCAUCCGAUUCAAUCAGGCAAAGCUACGAUCUGAGGACUAUAUACACUUGCGUGUGCUAUUCAUUCAGAUGGUAAUGUUCAGAAUAUUGGACGUCUGACGAUUCUCCCAUCAUCUUAUAUCGGAAGCCCACGCCACAUGCACGAAUACGCUCAAGACGCUGUGACGUACGUGCGAAAUUAUGGAACUCCGGAUUUAUUUAUUACGUUCACAUGCAAUCCGAAGUGGACGGAAAUUGAACGUGAGUUGGAACCGGGCCAAAAACUGUAAGAUCGCCAUGACAUAAUCACUAGAGUCUUUCAGCAAAAGCUCAAGGUUAUGAUGGAUGUGCUUACUAAGUAUCGAGUUUUUGGUGACACACGUUGUUAGAUAUAUGUACUCGGUGGAAUGGCAGAAGCGUGGACUACCGCAAUCUCAUUCUAAUUUGGUUGCUGAACAAAUUACAUUCAAAUGAAGUGCAUGACAUCAUAUCAACCUUAUCCAGUCAUUGAUUCCCAUCUCUACGACAUUGUGACGACACAGAUGAUGUAUUAAAUCCAUUAUCGCCUUGCAUUGCUGAUUUAAAGUGUCCAACACGAUAUCCGCGACCGUUAGUUGCUGAAACAGUCCCAGGGAACGAUGGAUAUCCAGUUUAUCGUCGGCGUCCAAAAGAAGAUAAUGGUCGAACUAUCAAAGUUAAAGUUCAAAAUCAAGAGAUUGAAAACGGAAAUGAAUUCAUUGUACCAUAUUGCCCGCUGCUAUCACGAAUAUUCGAAACACUGGCAAACGUUCAGAGUUGUCAUUCGACCAAAUCAAUCAAAUAUUUGAGCAAGUACGUCACAAAAGGCAGCGACAUGGAUGUGUUUAGUAUUGCGUCGGAAAAUGCGAAUGACGAAAUCAGCAACUUCCAAAUGGGCAGAUACGUCAGUACUGUGGCGAUUAUUGUCAUGCCACUAUUCGAUCAAAUUCAUGAAAGAUAUUGUACGUUUAGCAGUGCAUUUGGAAAAUGGCCAAAGAGUUUACUUCACUGAGGCUAAUGACUAGCUUCUUUGCAAUGUGUGACGCUGAUGUACAUUGAAAUGCCCAAGUAUUACACUUGGAAUCAAUCAAGAAAGAAAUUACAACGUCACAAACAAGAAACCCCAGUUCCAGAUUGGCCACAGGUGUUUUCCGCUGAUGCACUAGGCCGCAUGUACACUGUUCAUCUUAGAAAUGAUGAAUGUUUUUAUUUGCGACUGCUGUUGGUAAAUGUACGUGGACCAAAAUCAUUUGCGGAUUUGAAAACUGUGAAUGGCCACCAAUGCCAAACAUAGCGAGAAGCAUGUCAACUAUUGGGUUUGCUGGAGAACGAUUCUCAUUAGGAUUUAACACUUGCGGAUUCAGUUGUUUCAUCAAAUGCGUACCAAAUACGAACGCUGUUCGCAAUUAUCAUCACCACAUGUUUUCCUUCACAACCAAUUCAGUUAUGGAACAAACACAAUGACGACAUACGUGUAUAUGGAGAUAUCGCUUGCGCAAUCAAACGAAUAAUCCUGACAUCCAAAUAACCGAUAAAAUCUACAAUGAAGGAUUGAUUCUGAUUGAGUAUCAAUGCUUGACUAUUGCAAAAGAGCUACUGAUUGAAGUAGGAAUGAUUGCGCCAAAUCGAUCGAUGCACGAUGCAUUCAACCAAGAAUUAAAUUAAAUCGAGAGCUGCAAUACAAUGUUGAUACAUUGCAGGAAUUCGUUCGAAAUAAUCUGCCGUUGCUGAAUGAACAGCAAAAACAAGUAUACAAGAAAUUAAUGCAAGCGGUGGACAAUAACACCGGUGGUCUAUUCAUCCUGGACGCACCUGGAGGAGCAGGGAAAAAAUUUGUCAUUUCUUUGAUUUUGGCCACUAUUCGAUCAAGAUGUGAUAUAGCUUAGGCCUUAGCAUCAUCUGGAAUUGCGGCGACUCUUCUAGAUGGCGGUCGUACUGCACAUUCUGCGCUUAAGCUGCCACUCAAUUUAAACACAAUUGAUACUCCAACAUACAAUCUUUGGCGGCUUGAUGAUAUUGUUGACAGGCGAUUUCAGGCAGACGCCUGCGGAUGAAUUGAACGCUUGCCUGAAGGCAUCACCUUUAUGGAAUAACGUACAACGACUUUUGUCGAUUUGUAAAUUCUCAAUUAGCUCUUAUUGCAAAUGUUUUCCCAAACAUUAGUGAGAAUUAUCAGAAUUAUGUUUGGUUAAGUCAACGAGCAAUUCUUGCCGCAAAGAAUAAUGAACGCAGUAACCGUCAAAUACAACUGCUUGGUAGUAGUUGAAAUUUGUCUACCUUCUCAGAAUUGAACUGUCUUUUCUGUUUCCUCAAGGCAACUGGGACCAUUUCUGAUCGAAAGGGCAAAGUGUAUACAUAAAUAUGUGGUAUUUUAUGUGCAAAUCAACGAAAUACUCGCAAUUGCAAACGUACAACAAUAACCAUUAAGUGCUACUAUAAAAGAAAAUGUAAACUUUGGUUGCAUCCCUCGCAGAUACAAAAAAUUCCUUACAAGAACUUGAUUCCGAUUGUUCAAUUUGUAUGGCAGCUAUAUGCUAUAGUGAUCCGGUCUCAACACUUCUUUCGGAGAUUGUAUUAUUGUCUAAGACAUUUUCCAAAUUUUCCAAGUGCAACCACUUGAUUCCGUUACCCGAACAUACUUCUGUAGCUCUUCUUUAUACGUAUGUAUGUACUUGUUUAGUAUGUAACGGUUAUAAGUUAGUAAUCUGGCUCAGUUGUUGAGGCUUAGCUAGUAAAAAAGUUUGAGUUUUUACACUGCUUUUAUCAGGCUCCUCAAGUUAUUUAUUUCGAAAGCUGAAUUUUAUAUACUAUUCUAAUAUCUAUCCUUAUCCUUCUAAAAUGUUAUUCACAUUAGAAUUAAAUACUGUUGAAAGUUUUUUGUCGCUAACAUUUUCUCUUUAUUGUUUGAUUUGCAGUUUAAUAUUAUAUUAUAAAUUGUUUACAAUAAAA